GACGAACGCUGGCGGCGUGCUUAACACAUGCAAGUCGAACGGAAAGGCCUGCUUUUGUGGGGUUCUCGGGUGGCGAACGGGGGAGGAACACGUGAGGAACCUGCCCUUGACUUUGGGGUAACUUCAGGAAAAUGGGGCUAAUACCGGAUAGGAGGUCCUGCUGCAUGGGGGGGGGUGGGAAGUUUCGGCGGUUGGGGAUGGGCUCGCGGCUUAUCAGCUUGGUGGUGGGGUAGUGGCUUACCAAGGCUUUGACGGGUAGCCGGCCUGAGAGGGUGACCGGCCACAUUGGGACUGAGAUACGGCCCAGACUCCUACGGGAGGCAGCAGUGGGGAAUAUUGCACAAUGGGCGGAAGCCUGAUGCAGCAACGCCGCGUGCGGGAUGACGGCCUUCGGGUUGUAAACCGCUUUCGCCUGUGACGAAGCGUGAGUGACGGUAAUGGGUAAAGAAGCACCGGCUAACUACGUG
rnacentral:rRNA from 1 species